GUCUAGAGCCAUACCACCCUGAACAUGCCCGAUCUUGUCUGAUCUCAGAAGCUAAGCAGGGUCGGGCCUGGUUUGUACUUGGAUGGGAGAAAUAUGAGAACCUGGACUGUGACA
rnacentral:rRNA from 1 species